AUAAUAAUAAUAAUAAUAAUAAUAAUAAUAAUAAUAAUAAUAAUAAUAAUAAUAAUAGUAUUUUUCCCUAGUUUACUGUUUACAUCAACGGUUCAUUUCUUAUCUUUUAUUUAUUUAUUUGUUUGUUUUUUUCAUUUUUAUUCGAUUCAUUUUUUUUCAUUGAUUUUCGCGUCGUUUUAAUUUCCUGUUUUUGUAUCUUUUCUUUAUUUUUCAACAUUUUCCUGUAUUUUUCAUUUAUUUGUAUUUUUCCUGUAUUUUCCUUUUGCUUCAUGUCUUUUUCUCUCUUUAUCAACCCCUUCCUUUAUUCUUCCUCACGUCAACUUUCGUUUUUAUCAACUAAUUUCAACUAAUCAACUAAUCAACUCAUUUUUUCUUUACAUUAUUUCUCGCUAAAAUUAAUUCGAUCACACGCACACAAACGCACAUAGUACCAAUUUCUAUGUAUGUAUGAGUGGACGCAUAAUGUAUGUGUGUAUGUACGUAAACGAAUAUAUGUGUGCGUAUCAUAUGUGUGUGUGUGUGUGUGUGUGUGUGUGUGUGUGUGUGUGUGUGUGUGUGUGUGUGUGUGUGUGUGUGUUUAUAUGAUUUUCUCUUCGCACACCUGCAUACCUUUCCUUCCCUCAACUAAUCAAUUUUCUUUACACCUGAGGGAGAGGGUAGGAGGGAAGGGAAGGGAAGGGAAGGGAAGGGAAGGGAAGGUGAGGUGAGGUGAGGUUAGGUGAUGUAAGAGAAAGGAUGGGAUGUUGAGGGAAAGGAAGGGAAGGGAAGGGAAGGAAGAUGGGUUAAGUUAAGGUAAGGUAAGGUAUGGUAUGGUAAGGUAAGGUUAGGUCAGGAGAGGUAAGGUUAGGUAAGGUCGAUAGGUAAGGUAAGGUAAGGUAAAGUAAGGUUACGUUAGGUUAGGAAGGCAAAGUAAGGUAAGGUAAGGUAAGGAAAGGAUAGCUAAGGUAAGGUUAGGUAAGGAAAGGAUAGCUAAGGUAAGGUUAGGUAAGGAAAGGAUAGCUAAGGUAAGGUUAGGUAAGGAAAGGAUAGCUAAGGUAAGGUUAGGUAAGGUAAGGUUAGGUUAGGUAAGGUAAGGUAAGGAAAUGUUGGUAAGGGAGGGAAGGAGGGAGGUAAGGGAAAGGAGGGUAAUUACAGGUGGAGGGAAGGAAAGGUAAGUAUCGCAUCACCACCAUCACCACCACCAUCACCACC